AAAUGCUCUGAUAUUUUUAUUGAAUCAGAGUCAAGCUUCCCAUCUGGAGUCCUCCCCAGUAGUUGGCACCAGCAGGCACUGGGCACACAGAAUCCCACAAGACUGAAAAUUCACAUUGCUUGCCAUAAAGAUUCGGUGUGGAGCUCAGUGACAGGUCACUGAGCCAGUGUGUAGAGGCCUUGGAGUUGAUUAAAACUAAAGUCACUUGUUUGAUUCAGUUCCUCCUAUCAAGUUCUUCCACUUUAUUGGUCUGUAAUUUUUCUUUCCAAAAGAUUUAUUAGUUUGCCUUUGUUAACUUUUGUUCUCUAGUGUGGUUUCUGGGUUUAAUCUUAGACAGUCUUUAUUACUGUUGUAGUAUUUGUCUUUUAAUUUUUGUUACAUUCAAUUGUUUGUUUAAUGGGAGGGGCCAUGCUAGGAUCUACAAGUGGAGGUCAGAAUACAACUUGCAAGAGUCAGUUCUCUCCUUCCGUGAUGGGUCAGGGAUUGAACUCAAGUGGUCAGGCUGGGUAGCAAGCAUCACUUUUACCUCCUGAGCCAUCUAAUCUGUCAUACUCUUCUUGCUUCUUGCCCUGGGGAUUUUUUUCAUUCAUUCCUCAUAGAAGUGUUUAAAGUAUGUGGUGGGCCCUUCAUCCAAGGAUGUCUUUCCUGUUUCCUGGAACGUGUGAGCAUGUUCCUUCACAUCAUAGAUGAGGAUUACAGCAUAGAAAGACUGCUAAUGUGCAAAGCCUUUGGGUGAAGACGAUCCAAGUUAUCUAAUGGACCUAGUCCAGUCAAUAGGGACUGUCUUCUAGCACCUCUGAGCAUGUUCCUGACCCAGCAGAAGCCAGGACAGAAUGAGAAGUGUCAACAGCAAGUUAUACAGAUACUCUCUGCCAGGCUGACAAAGAACUAGAACAAAAGAGCAGACAGUGCCUAACCUGAUAAAAUGUCCAGCCUCUGACUCUGUGUGCCUCAGUUUCCUAAUUUGUAAUAUGAGUACAGCAAUAGUGUCUACUGGAGCACGAGGCAAUCCUGAGCCUGAAUUCCCCUCCCUGAUGUAUCUGCUUCACUGCACUGUUCUGACUGGCUCUUUCAGGAUGGCAUGACUUUGGGUCAUAAAAGGACAGAUGUCCAACCUAGCACAGUGGCGCAGACACAGAGAUGAAAGGCAGCCUUGUUAAGAAGAGUCCAGGUGGCCUCGCACAGAAAACUGAGCAGGUGGGCCAGUGGCCAAGACUUAGACUUGUGUUUACAUAGUAUAUCUAGCUCUCUCAGAAGAAGAAUACAUCCUAGCUAGCCUACUAAUCCAAGGACAGAAGAUACCCCUUCCAACAACCUUACACUGUGGACAGUGGAACGAACCACUGCAGAGAACUUAGCAGGCAGCCUCCCUCCACCUUGCCUUAUGGUCCAGUUCAGAACCCCUGUCAUCAACAUUCCCCAGUACCCAGCUCUGUGACAUCACAAUCUUCUGCCCACACAGACAGCAGGUGACAGAAGCUUAAAGGUGGAGCCUUGCUAUGAAAGUUCCCCACCAUCAGUUUUCAGAGGACCAUGUUCUGAAAUGGAAUGAGAGUAAUGGAAGAGAAAGUGAAGCCACUGAAGUCCUGCUAUUCCUCUUGGCUGUGACACCUGGACAAGUCACAAUUCUAAGCCUGGGUUCCCCCUGAAAACAGUGGGAUACAAUCCUGCAUCACAUAUACAGAAGAGACAAAUGAAAAACAAGCCUCAGAUGUCAAAGGACCUGCCCUAGAUGAUCAAUGGACAUCAGUAUGCCUGGCACUGAGACUGAUUCUCUUCCCAUUAACUUGAAUGGCAAAGACAUAAAUGAGGCUGGAGUAAAAACCCACUGGCCGAAGGAAGACUGGAAAGGAUUGAGUGUCACUCAACAGAGAAGGUCCAGGCAUUAAUUCAACAAGGAGUAGACACCCACUCUUGCCCUGAGUUAUGGUAUGACCAGGGAUCCAAAGGUCAUGUUGAUUUAUCCCUGUCUCUGAGAGCAGAAACAUCACUCCUGUUCACUGCAGGAUUCUCAGGACUUCACGCAGGACUUGGCACCAGUAAAUCCUCCAUAAAUAUUUGUCUGCAAGUACCCAUGGAUUCUUUGCCUGCUUUUGCACAGGACCAGAGCAGGAUAAAUCCAAGUUCGCUCAUCCCACCAAUGUCCAUGAAACUAGGCACAAUGGGAGCCACACUCAGAAUACCACAGGCCUUGGCAGAGGGCCUGAGCUCAUACAAAUGACUAAAUUCUAGGUGAGGCUAGAAUACAAUAAAGCUGUGAGCAGUGGAACAAGGGUCCCGACAGUGAAAGAAGUAAGGUGAGCAGGCCAGACAGGGUUAGAGAAGGAAGCCUGUAAACAAAGGCUUGAAGUGCUAGGGAGGUUGGGAAGGGGGGAGCACUGCUCUGUGGACAUUUGCUGACAGAACAUGAAGCAGAACAAGAAGAGCAAGUGUUCCUGCCUGCUGGAACUGAGGGGAAGGGAAAGAGGAGGAGACAGCCCUGGUCAGAUAGGUAAAGGCAAGGUGAAGGCACUUACUUCUCCAGAGGAGACCCAGGGAAGGACAGGUUCUUACCCUGUGUGGUGCAGGAGGCUGCUCUAUUUUGUUUUUUCUAUUGUCAUGAGAAACAAGCACAAGCAAAAGCAAUAUGGGGAGAAAACAGUUUAUUUUAGUUUACAGAUUUACAUUUCAUCCUCAAGGGAAAUCAAGGUAGGAGGGCCUCUUCGGGGACAACUGAAGCCAGAAAUAUGGAGAGCUGCUGCUUACUGGAUUGCUUCCCCCCACUUUAGUUGGGCUAGCUUUCUUUCACAAUCCAGGAUCACCUCUCCAAGGGUGGCACUGCACACACAUUUGCUGGACCCUCCUACACCAACUAUCAGUCAAGAAAAUGCCCCAACAGUUGGCCUGCAGGCCAGUCUGAUGGGAACGAUUCCUUAAUGUUCUGUGUUCCCAAGUAUGUCAAAUUGACAGCCAUCACUGGAGGUACUAGCAGGUUGUGUGGACAGAAGUGACAUACUCUGACUCAUUCAAAGAAAACCAACUGGAAGGAGCAAGAGCAGUCAAUGCAGUAACCCAGGGAGUGAGGUGAGAGGGGUAGGGGGACGGGAAAGGUAGGUGAGAAGCCAGAGCCAGAGCCCAGCAGUGAUACCAGAGAAUAGACCUAGUGUGCUGUGAUUGACAUUCAACAACUACAUCAGAAAUUUCCAAAGUGGAUCCUGUGAGAUCAUGGGCCUGCCCCUUUAAGAUUCUGGUCACCCAGAGGCCACAUCCCAUGGCUUGAAAUCAGGACUGACCACCCCUACACUCUCAAUCUCCACCCCUUACCUCCAUCACUGUGGAAACAGAGAAUUAAGAAGUCCCACUGUGCCUAAUAGCCUCUAAUUUCUAGUCUUGCCUGCUACCUGGUACCUCAAUGUGUUUUGUCACAUAGGCAUAGACUAUGUUGACUUCACUUUCACACAGUGUGAACCUUCCUGCUACCCCCAAAAGGAUAGAAAGUCAGUUAUUGGACUUUUCCCUGAAUUGUCUCUGGGCCUCCCUGCAUCACAUUGUCCAUGGUGGUGCGCUCUCUCUCUCUCUCUCUCUCUCUCUCUCUCUCUCUCUCUCUCUCUCUCUCUCUCUCUCUCUCUCUGAUAUUGUUCUCAAUGGAGCUUCUUCCCAGGUUUUAAAGGGAAGCCUCUCUCUCUCUCCCUUUAAAGACCUAUCAUGCAGUAUCUGACAGAAUCUCUGUGCCUUUCUAAUGUUCUCCCACAUCAAGGCUCAAUAGUAGACCACAUGGUCUUGAAGCCAUCUCUCCUAAUACAGUCAAUUCAUGAAGGCAUUUUCACGCCAGUUCUUUUCCUAAACCAGCCAACCUGUCUGUCAUCCUUUUUCUCUAACACAGCUUAUUCACAGACAAGAGGGAUCUAGAACAGGACAUGACAGAGAGAGGGGAGACUGAAAAUAAGCUAGAUUUACAACCUUGGGACAUCAGAGCCUUGGGAAGAUGAUAUAGUUAACCAGCUAUGUUGCUGGUGUGACCCUUAGUUCAGAGACAGGGAUGAGCUAGCCCUCAGACACAUAGCAAUUAACAGUGAGGCAAGGACUCUGUGAGCUUCACAAUCCUGCUCCCUUGAACCUAGGCCCAAUUGGAAUAAAAUGAAAUGAAGGAGGGCAUGAGAAAAGGGGACAGUGGGCAGAGGGACUGAUCAUGAACACCCAUUGUCACCACCACAGCUUCAAUGGACAAGGAAACUGGUGUUCCUCCGGAUUAAACUGUUUUUCUUGCUUUUCUGAUGAGAAAUGAAGUCUCAGAUACCACAGGCCCACCCAGUGCACACCCUUCAAAAGCAGGAGAUAACUCUCCUAAAAACCUGUGCACACUCAGCAUGCACUAAAGUUCUCUGUCCUCUGAUCUGGCAAAAUGAACAGACACGUGUCACCUAGAGUCCUGGCUCAUUCAGGAAAGAGCCCAGCCAGUGAGCUGUAAGAAACACCACCCCCAUCACCACCCGCUGACUGAAGGAGGAGCACCAGGGUACAGUCUUGUCACCCUUCUACAGACAGGUGAACUUUGGACAGUGAAGAAGGGUGACCGGCCCUCAGAGUGGAGGAACUGGACAGUUGGAGUUGCUUCAGGAGGCCACAGGAAACCAAAGAGCCCAGGUGCCAGUGGCUGGGUGGGGGCACCAGUGUGACCCACUGCUUAAACAACAAUGGGCUUCUGGAGUUGGAGCUGCACAGCCAGGUACCCAAUACCUUUUCCUCUUUCCAACACCGCCAAAGCAUGGCAUCCAACAUCUUCUGUUGCUGUUACAAGGCCAGUGAUUCAACUAGCAACAGUGCCAGUCACCUCUCUACAAGAGUGGCCCAACAGAAUCACCCACUGUGGGGCAGAUGCUUCAUAACACCAGACAGAAGAACUGGUAUGAACAGAAAUGCUCCUCAAAGGGGUAUUCAAAGGAGACACUCAUUCAACCUCUCAAACAACUGGAUUAAGCUAUGCAGCCUCAGGAGACCCUGAAGGUUCUAGAGGCAGCAGGCCAUGGUCUCUGAGCUGUGCAGCUGCUGGAGGGUCUCCAUGAGGAUGAAGAAGGCAGUGGACAGGAGUCAUGAAGACUGAUUCAGAAACUCCACCGCAAGGAGGGAAGAGGUCUGAGCCAUCCCUGUGCCACCAGCACGAGUCACCCCAGCUCCUGACAGCCAGGGAGGGGGGCUGCCUGCAAUUAAAGUCCUUGUUUGCAUCAGA